AUAUAUAUAUAUAUAUAUAUAUAUAUACUCCAGUAUUUCAUCCGGUCGGUUUGGAUGAUGUAGUUGUAAAACCUGCUCUGUGUGAGCAUUCGACUUGUUUGGGAAUGCUUACAUUAAAAGACAAUUUUAGAAUUACUUUUUAUCUGUCAAAACACUAAAAAUAACUGACCAACAAAAAAAGAAAAUCCAACCAAGAUUCAACCAAAUCAAAAAAUAAACCCAAAUACUAAGCGAACAAAGAUGAACCAUCCCACUUCCA